rnacentral:sRNA from 1 species
CUGAAAUGUAACGAGGGAUGUGAUUUGGAUCAAC